ensembl:lncRNA
CGGGGAGCAGCUGGAGCUCAGAGCCCCGACAUACGCUGCCAGCAUCCUGGUUAUUGAUCAGGGAGAAACCCUCACAGAUCAAUACAUCUGUAGGGUUGAGCAUGAGAGCGGUCUGCAGAAGGUGGAGGUCCCAGCAGAAAUGACCUUGACGUCAGAAGGCCCCGGAAUGAUAGAAAUGACCUUGACUUCAGAAGGCCCCGGAAAGACAGAUGUUACCUUAGCGACGGCAGUUACUACGGACCCCCGGCGUCCAGGGAGACCCAGAGAAGGUCCUUCAGAUGAAACACACCAGUCCCUCCAGGUGCUGUCCAGAGCCAGGCUGGCGUCUGUGCUCUACACAGUGAUGGUGGUGAAGAGUGUGCUCUGCUGCUGUGGCCUGGCUCUCCUGCUCCUCCACACCAACAAGACCAGCAGGACGCCCAGAACCAGCACCACCACAGCCCUGGACUGACGCUGCUGUCCCCCAGAACCAGCACCACCACAGCCCUGGACUGACGCUGCUGUCCCCCAGAACCAGCACCACCACAGCCCUGGACUGACGCUGCUGUCCCCCAGAACCAGCACCACCACAGCCCUGGACUGACGCUCCUGUCCCCCAGAACCAGCACCACCACAGCCCUGGACUGACGCUCCUGUCCCCCAGAACCAGCAGAUCCACCUCGUACAACCAUAUGAGGUCAUCAUGUCAUCAUGUCACCAUGUCAUCAUGUCAUCAUGUCACCAUGUCAUCAUGUCAUCAGAUCAUCAUGUCAUCAUGUCAUCAUGUCAUCAUGUCACCAUGUCAUCAUGUCAUCAUGUCAUCAUGUCAUAAUGUAAUGUUGUUAUUCAUUUCUAGUCUCCACGUUCUUCUGCUCUUUUCCCUCCAAUGUUCGGACCAGAAAACUGCAUGAGCUUUUCACAGUUUUCUGUUUCCUUUUUCUUAGUGUGUACUGUCGCCCAUGUAUCAUCUAACACACCCCCUUCAUUUAAACAGGCCCUCAAAACCCACCUUUUCAUGAUCGCUUUCAACACAUAACCUCCUUCCCUUCUCUACCCUCCCUCCUUUUAACUAUUCCUCUCUUUUACACCUAUUUCAGUUUUUUAGAUAUCUAUUUUUACCCAAUUUUAUCUUCUUACUUACGUACGUUAUUAUUCAAUGUUUUUAUUCUGUGUUCACUCUGUUAAGCGACUUUGAGUAUUUAGAAAAGCGCAAUCUGAGCUGAAUGUAUUAUUAUUAUUAUUAUUAUGAAAGAAGAUGCAUUUAAAAUAAUUAAAAUCUCAAAUGUAACAUUAGCUGGUUGUCUAUUGAUGGAGUUGUAUUCAAAGGGUGAAUCAUGUUAUUUUAAACAAGCGUAUUUUAUAGAUCUUUCGUUACAACGAUUCUGAACAAAACCUUUAGAUGAACGAAGACCCAUUAAAAGAACCCUAAGUAUUUUUCAAGCAACAAUGGAAAUCGAUUUUAACUUUGGUCUAAAGUUAACUUUGAACUAGAAUGUAAUCUGCUACUUUCUACACGUUUUUAAGUCUAGUGUUUAUAAAUAAAUCAUAUAAGAUAAACAAAUAUUGUGCAGUAGAAGACAAUUGUAUUAUCUUGCUACAUUAGUAGAUGGAUGGGAAUCUUAAUCUUUGCUUUUUAGUUGAUCCCUUGGUCUAUUAUUUUGGUUUAAUUUGGAAUAUAAUGUAAUUGAAUAAUGACUUAUUUAAUAUUUCAAUGUGUUAGUGGAAAACCGUUUCCAAUUCGGAAUACAUUUCAUGGUGUGCAUCUUAUUGUUAUGUAUGAAUCUGUCUUUCCAUUUCUCUAGAUUUAGUAAAUUAAAACAUUACUAUAUAUUUUUAUUCAUACAUGUACAUUUAUUUGGGUGAAUUUGAAUAAUAGCCAAUAUUUAGCUGAUUUCUAUGUAGGAUACAUAAUUAAG